AUCCUUAGUAAGUUUGAUCCUGCCGGACCUGACUGCUAUCGGAUUGAUACUAAGCCAUGCGAGUCUUUGCAGUAAUGCAAGGCAUACGGCUCAGUAACACGUAGUCAACUUACCCUAUGGACGAGGAUAAUCUCGGGAAACUGAGCAUAAUACUCGAUAGAUCAUAAUGCCUGGAAUGGUUUAUGGUUGAAAUGAUUCGUCGCCAUAGGAUGGGACUGCGGCCUAUCAGCUUGUUGGUGAGGUAAUGGCCCACCAAGGCGAUUACAGGUACGGGCUCUGAGAGGAGAAGCCCGGAGAUGGGUACUGAGACAAGGACCCAGGCCCUAUGGGGCGCAGCAGGCGAGAAAACUUUGCAAUGUGCGAAAGCACGACAAGGUUAAUCCGAGUGAUUUCUGCUAAAGAAAUCUUUUGCAAGUCAUAAAACCACUAGUGAAUAAGGGGUGGGCAAGUUCUGGUGUCAGCCGCCGCGGUAAAACCAGCACCUCAAGUGGUCAGGAGGAUUAUUGGGCCUAAAGCAUCCGUAGCCGGGUCUGUAAGUUUUCGGUUAAAUCCAUGUGCUCAACGCAUGGGCUGCCGAAAAUACUGCAUAGCUAGGGAGUGGGAGAGGUAGACGGUACUCGGUAGGAAGGGGUAAAAUCCUUUGAUCUAUCGAUGACCACCUGUGGCGAAGGCGGUCUACCAGAACACGUUCGACGGUGAGGGAUGAAAGCUGGGGGAGCAAACCGGAUUAGAUACCCGGGUAGUCCCAGCUGUAAACGAUGCAGACUCGAUGAUGCAUUGGCAUAUAGCCAGUGCAGUGUCGCAGGGAAGCCGUUAAGUCUGCCGCCUGGGAAGUACGUACGCAAGUAUGAAACUCAA
rnacentral:rRNA from 2 species